UACGUAGGGGGCGAGCGUUGUCCGGAAUCAUUGGGCGUAAAGCGCAUGUAGGUGGUUAGAUAAGUCUGAUGUGAAAUCCCCGGACUCAAUUCGGGAAGUGCAUUGGAUACUGUUUGACUAGAGUAUGGGAGAGGUAAGCGGAAUUCCAGGUGUAGAGGUGGAAUUCGUAGAUAUCUGGAGGAACAACAGAGGCGAAGGCGGCUUACUGGACCAUUACUGACACUGAGAUGCGAAAGCGUGGGGAGCAAACAGG
rnacentral:rRNA from 1 species